GAUGAAGAACGUAGUGAAAUGCGAUAAGUAAUGUGAAUUGCAGAAUUCAGUGAAUCAUCGAAUCUUUGAACGCACAUUGCGCCCGCUAGUAUUCUGGCGGGCAUGCCUGUCCGAGCGUCAUUUCAACCCUCAAGCCCCCGGGCUUGGUGUUGGGGAUCGGCGAGCCUCCGCGCCCGCCGUCCCCUAAAUCUAGUGGCGGUCUCGCUGUAGCUUCCUCUGCGUAGUAGCACACCUCGCACUGGGAAACAGCGCGGCCACGCCGUUAAACCCCCAACUUCUGAACGUUUGACCUCGGAUCAGGUAGGAAUACCCGCUGAACUUAAGCAUAUCAAUAAGGGAGGA
rnacentral:misc_RNA from 1 species